rnacentral:sRNA from 1 species
UUUUAGCCCCGAUAGUAGCGACAUCCUUUUUGAUGGCUGAGGCUCUCGAAGCCAUCAAAAAGAUAUAGCGAAUAGCGGGAAAUAGC